UGUAUUGUAUUGAGUAUAUUUUAUGGUCGCGGUAUGGCAACACUGGAUUGUGAUGCAAUGUGAAUAUGUUCGAUUGAUAGUACGGUUACUUUAAGGGAAUCGAAAGCGACGUUAGCUUUAAAGUAAACUAAUUCAAGGCACUUGGUUUGUGUAUGCCAGUUUGGAUGGGAAAUAUCACUGUAUGAUGCUGCUUUGGUUGGCUUUGCAGAAUACUCGAGUAAGCGGGAUAUAGCAAUUCACAAAUUAUCUUUUUUGUAAAAUUAAUCUGAAUAUAGUUUUAGAUGGAAUUUGUUGUUUUCCACGCUUAAGAAGCCACUUGUUUUAGCUGGCUAUUUCUAUUUGGAUAUUUUUCUCCAUGCAAAUUUUAGUAAUUUCCUGUCAAGGGGAAACAAAUAUUGAUUACACUUUGUCAAGCUAUUUAUAGCUCGUGUUUAAUAUCGAUAUUUUGACAUUUCAAUUCCAAGGUCAGAAUUGGAAUAGUGAUAUUCGUUACGCGCUUAUCUUGACUACUUCAUAAAUGAAAAUGAAUUCUUCUGAAUUAUGUGGAAAGAGUUCUUAGUUCAGUAUAUGACCACAUUGCAACAAAAAAAAAAAAAAAAAUUACAAAUGUCAUUGGACGUGGACCGCCCAUAAUUUAAAAUUUUAACCUUUGGUAGCAAAUAUUGAUUAUUUUGCUUGUAUGCGAGGAUUGAAUUCAUUUUGCGUUCAUUUCUCGAAACACUUGGUAUUUAGAAUGCUUAUAUUUUAACUUGAAAUAGUUAUAUAAUUAGCAUUGAUAUAUUUCGAUGAAAGCUUGUUACUUUUAUUCGUUUAUUCUGCAAUUGAGUCAUGUAAUAUUCUUAAAAUUAAAACAAGGUGUAUUAUUGUGAAUGAGUGAUUGUGCCCGAAAUUGUAUUUUAAGAUGUAACGCUUCUAUCUUUGAUAAGUCUUAAAUUAGCUUCAGGCUAUUGAUAUUGUAAAUAUUGUUUGUUGAUAAAAGUAUUGGAAUUUGUACCAAUAUGUGUCUUUUUUUCCCCCCAACACUAUGUUACCUGGAUGAAAAUGGGGCUGAGUUGCUGGCAAGACGAAGUCAGCUUCUUUGGCAAAAAAAUAACUAGAAGAAUUAUAGGAAGGCUAUUCUGUGACAGGGUAGACAAAAAGUCAUCAGAUAUUGGGGAGCUGUUAAAUCUUGUUCAACCAAGCUACACAUAACGAUGAUAAUUGCCUGGGCCAUGAUUUUUGGUUAAGGUCUGCUGUCCAAUAUUUGAAGCUUACAAGGCAAUUUGCAUACUUGUCCAAGACACUUGGGACAACUGCAGUGGCAGGAAUGUUGUGUUGGAUGAGUGCUUCAUGAAACAUGGCUUUUGAAUAUUCGAAGAAAAGGGUUUCUGUAAAUUUUAACAAGUUUCACAUUUUCUAAAUGAAAUAAGUUGUAAUUUAUUGAGCAUCAUAACCAAAUCUGGAACUGGAAAUAGACAAGGCAAACAUGAAUUUACAUUCACAAAAAGACAAUCCCACAUAAGAUACUAAACUGAAAAAGUGACAAGCUAUUUUAACUGCAUACAACAAAACAGCUCUGGAUGACAUACAACACUAAUGCUUUGGAAUAUACAAAUGUGCUGACAAAUUAGGGUGAAAUCUUGAGCUUCAUGGUUACAUGAAUAGGAAACAAAUAGGUUCUUAUGAAACAUCACAUUUUUAAAUAGUGAACCAGAAUUUUUAAAUGUUCUCCAGAAUGAAGUCCCAUUUGAAAUGAGUUGUUAUUGCUGCAAUACUGAUAGAAUUUUGAAAUGGAUGACAGAAGAAAGUUCUACAGUAUGAUGUACUAUAUAUUAUCCUGAAACACUCCUACAAAUUCUUCAGGUAUGAUAGGUUAAUUCACGGGUUGGAGAGAUUGCUUUUUUUAUUUUGUUUCAGAUUUUUCAUUGUAUUGCAAUGACUAAAUUUACAAAAGAAAAUAGGAUGAAAAUGUAAUAAGAUAAAUUUAUCACAGCAUUGCAUGGCUGCAAAAUUAAUUUUGGUUUUAAUCAUAACUAAAAACAAGUGUUAAAUUUUGUUUCCAAAUGUAAAUGUAGUGUUAAGGCAAAUGAUGCUAGUGGAGAUUCAGUUUGUUUAAUCAAUAGAACUUGAAUUUAGAGGUUCCAUUGCCUAUUUAAAUUAUAAUUACAAGUAAUAUGGAAGAUAAUUUUAAAUUCUUUGACAAAUUCUUUGUUCGUAGGGAGGGGGUGAAAAGUUCUAUAUUGUUGCUUGGUGGUUUCCACCCAGCAUAUUUUUUUCCAUUUGCAGAUACUGUUAUUAUUGAUGAAAUGACUAUUCUGUAAUUGACGGCAAUUUUCAUCAGCCCUUAAAAUAUUUGGAUAGGAUGAGGUAAUAUUUGUGCAAGCAUCUCUGUUAGAAUGCAGAGAAAGCAGUCUCCCACUCAUUGUGAUUUGGGAAGGGAAGAACAAAAUGUCUUCAGGUAUGUGAGAGCACUUGGCAUUAAUUGUUGUAAAGGAGAAAAUAGGAAAGAAAUUGCAAUGUUGCACUGACAAGUUGCAGCACCAGACUUUUCCUUCACUUGCAGGUAUUUGGUAUUUUCUUUUAAAAGGUGAUGACAACACUAAUAAUGAAUAUACAUACAUCAUUGAUAGUUUGCAGCAGGUUAGGAGCAAAUGUAUCAAAGGAUAUGAAUGCAAGGUAAAAAGAAAAUUUUUUAUAUAUAUAUAUUUACAAGAUCAAGUCAUCUCUAACAGUUAUUGACAAUAACAGAAAAUGCAUCAUUUAUGAUCAUAACUACAUUGGAAAAAAAUGUAAACAAUCUAUAGUAGACAAACAAACUCCUACAGAAUUAAAAAAUUUUUUUUUAUGGUUUUGUGCAGUGCAAUAUCUUUAUAAUCAGAAGCAUGGCUUUUGCAAUUUCAAAUACAUUGUCCAAUGGGUGGCAUCGUUGGAAUUUUGUAUUAAGUGGAGACUUGUGAAUUAGAGGGUUUGAUAUAAGUAUAAGAUCAACUCGGUAUAUGAACAUGUGGAAUAUGGUUCUUUUAUUUUCAGGUACAUAAACACAUCUAUACAUGACACAGCAGAUCUAACAUGGUGUUAACUGAAAUUCAGUUGAAUUUUCAUGAUUCACUACAGUUGGCUGACACGAUAGACCAAAAAGAAAGUUUACCUUUUCCUGUUUCGCAGUAACAUCUAUACAGAAAUUUGCAUAAUUUUCAUGAUUCACUACAGUUGGCUGACACGAUAGACCAAAAAGAAAGUUUACCUUUUCCUGUUUCGCAGUAACAUCUAUACAGAAAUUUGCAUAAUUGGGUCUUUGUUAUAUCUUUGUAAAACAAUGUCACCACAUUAGAGAAAACUGGAGCAUAUUCUAAGAGGAAUGGACAGCUUAAGAUGUACAAAAGAAUCUUUAAAAGCCUGAUGAUAGAGGGCUAUGAUUAAUACACGUGAAAUUAACAUUUAAAAUCUGUGAUUAAUGGUUGGUAUCACUACUAUGCUUCACUUGUAGCUUCCUAAUCUAACAAUUACUAUUAGGUGUGAUCAACUAAUACCUUCAAGCAACAGGUGGAGGUGUAAUCUUUCAUUUUCAGGUAUAUGGAGUGGCAAAUUCAUUUUCACAAUUUAAAACGAGAUUUUUGUAAGCCAUGUGAUUGAAUCAUGAACUACAUUUUUUUAAAACUUUAGAUUAUCUAAGGAAACUACAUUGGUGGAUAGGAACUUCUCUGUUAAUGAAUACCUAUUACAAAAAUUAUAGCAUAACUUGCCAAAUAAAGGAGUGGGUGUAUCAAUAUCUGCAUUAUGAUGCACCUGCCCUGAGAUAAGUUGUGACUGAUUAAUGGUGACAAGAGGUGGAAAGUGGAGGUUUAUUUUGGUUCAUUUUCAGGUUUCUUGCUGAUCACUCACAGAUACAAGAAUAAGACUGGUGAAAACUAAUAGAGCAUCUAAUGGUAGCUGAUAAAGGUCUGACUGACGUUUAAUACCAAUUAUAUGAUGGACUGCCCUGAAGGUAUCUCCAGUUAUGGCUUAAGUUUCCUUUACAGGUUCUUGUUUGACUCUCUUGAAAAUCAGUUGGUAAUGUUAACAGUAUUUACACAUCACAAAAUGAAUUGUACAUGAAGUUGCUUCAAGCAUUUGACUCGGCUUGUAUUUGCUGAUUUAUCACAUAGAAAGAAUAGCUACUUUUUUCCUCAGGUUUUCUUUUAGAUAUUUUGUGGUGUGGGAAUUUGUUUGGCACCAGGUAUUUACUGUAUGGUUCAGAAACGAUGAUUGUCAAUGUAUACAUCAGGGGAGGAGAUGAAACUGCAUCUACUGAUUGUGAAUAUGAGGUGGGAUCUAUGAGAACUGGGGGACAAAGAAUGAAAACUAGUGACAGGUGGAAUGUUGAGAGGCUGGUGAAAAAUGACAUCAUCCACUGAAGACUAACAGUUCUUAUGGGAUAUGUCUAAUUUCUUUCCAAUGUAAUGGAUCUGCCCUGAAGUAUCUAAAGUGACUGGAGGCUCUUGAACAUUCCUGGUUUGGAAAAAAGGUGAGUUUUUUCUUUCUGUUUUUCUUGUUUCUUCCAGAUGUCCCAUGAUGGUGUAGAAACUUGUGCAUCUAGUCAGCUGUUUCUCUACUGCAUUAUGUAGUGACAUUGAUUGUUGGCUGUGAGUGGGGAAAUGAAUUCACCAUAUGAUAAUGUGGUGGAAUCCCCUUGAGGAUAACUGGAUAUACAAUGGAAGCUGGUACUGCCUAAUGAGUCCGACUGGUGGCAAUUGUGGUGGAACUUCAAAUUGGUGGCUACUGUGAUGGAACAUCUUCACACUGGUGACGACCGUCAUGGAACAUCUUCACACUGGUGACGACUGCGAGGGAACAUCUUCACACUGGUGACGACUGCGAGGGAACAUCUUCACGCUGGUGACGACUGUCAUGGAACAUCUUCACGCUGGUGACGACUGUCAUGGAACAUCUUCACACUGGUGACGACUGCGAGGGAACAUCUUCACGCUGGUGACGACUGUCAUGGAACAUCUUCACACUGGUAACGACUGC
rnacentral:lncRNA from 1 species